UACGUAGGGACCAAGCGUUGUUCGGAUUUACUGGGCGUAAAGGGCGCGUAGGCGGCAAUUCAAGUCAGCUGUGAAAUCUCCGAGCUUAACUCGGAACGGUCAGCUGAUACUGCUUUGCUAGAGUGCAGAAGGGGCAAUCGGAAUUCUUGGUGUAGCGGUGAAAUGCGUAGAUAUCAAGAGGAACACCAGUGGCGAAGGCGACUUCCUGGCCUGUUCUUGACGCUGAGGCGCGAAAGCUGGGGGAGCAAACGGG
rnacentral:rRNA from 1 species